CGUCCGCGAUCUUUACGGGAGUAAGGGCUCGCAGGCGGUUUCUUAAGAUCUGAUGUGAACCCCCCCAGCUCAACCGGGGAGGGUCAUUGGAAACUGGGGAACUUGAGUGCAGAAGAGGAGAGUGGAAUUCCACGUGUAGCGGUGAAAUGCGUAGAGAUGUGGAGGAACACCAGUGGCGAAGGCGACUCUCUGGUCUGUAACUGACGCUGAGGAGCGAAAGCGUGGGGAGCGAACAGGAUUAGAUACCCUGGUAGUCCACGCCGUAAACGAUGAGUGCUAAGUGUUAGGGGGUUUCCGCCCCUUAGUGCUGCAGCUAACGCAUUAAGCACUCCGCCUGGGGAGUACGGUCGCAAGACUGAAACUCAAAGGAAUUGACGGGGGCCCGCACAAGCGGUGGAGCAUGUGGUUUAAUUCGAAGCAACGCGAAGAACCUUACCAGGUCUUGACAUCCUCUGACAAUCCUAGAGAUAGGACGUCCCCUUCGGGGGCAGAGUGACAGGUGGUGCAUGGUUGUCCUCAGCUCGUGUCGUGAGAUGUUGGGUUAAGUCCCGCAACGAGCGCAACCCCAAGGAGAAGUGUC
rnacentral:rRNA from 1 species